rnacentral:rRNA from 1 species
AGCGAACGCUGGCGGCAGGCCUAACACAUGCAAGUCGAACGAACUCUUCGGAGUUAGUGGCGGACGGGUGAGUAACACGUGGGAACGUGCAUUUAGGUUCGGAAUAACUCAGGGAAAGUUGUGCUAAUACCGAAUGUGCUCUUCGUGGGAAAGAUUUAUCGCCUUUGGAGCGGCCUGCGUCUGAUUAGCUAGUUGGGGAGGUAAAAGCAGGCCAAGGCGCUGUUUAGGAGCUGGUCUGAGAGGAUGCUCAGCCACAUUUGGACUGAGACACGGCCCAAACUCCGACGGGAAGCAGCAGAGGAGUAUCUUGCGCAAUGGGCGAAAGCCUGACGCAGCCACGCCGGGUAAAUGAUGAAGGUCUUAGGAUUGUAAAUUUCUUUCGCCGGAGACGAUAAUGACGGUACCCGGAGAAGAAGCCCCGGCUAACUACGUG